CGCAUCUGUGCAUGCAGCAUAUCAAUAAGCGGAGGAAAAGGAUGUUGAUACCUACGCUUAGGAUGUUGACACACGCGCGUGCUCGAGUCUAUACAUGACUCUGUGCAUAUCAAUAAGCGGAGGAAAAGAGGGCUAUUACCUACGCUUAGGAUGUUGACACACGCGCGUGCUCGAUCUAUACAUGACUCUGCGCAUAUCAAUAAGCGGAGGAAAAGAGGGCUAUUACCUACGCUUAGGAUGUUGACACACGCGCGUGCUCGAUGAUAGUCUAUACAUGACUCUGCGCAUAUCAAUAAGCGGAGGAAAAGAAACUAACAAGGAUUCCCUCAGUAACGGCGAGUGAAGCGGGAAGAGCUCAAAUUUGAAAUCUUGAAAGGUCACCUUUCACGAAUUGUAGUUUAAAGAAGUGUUUUCUGUUACGAUCGUAAUAUAAGUUCUUUGGAAUAGGACAUCACAGAGGGUGAGAAUCCCGUCUAUGAUUGCGAUUUGUAGCUUUGUGAUACACUUUCAAAGAGUCGGGUUGUUUGGGAAUGCAGCCCAAAACGGGAGGUAAAUUUCUUCUAAGGCUAAAUAUUGGCGAGAGACCGAUAGCGAACAAGUACCGUGAGGGAAAGAUGAAAAGAACUUUGAAAAGAGAGUUAAAUAGUACGUGAAAUUGUCAAAAGGGAAGCGUUUAACACCAGUGUUGUUUUCUGAAAAUCAACCUCUGUUAGCUUUAUGCAUGUUUGUUUAGACCUAAUCAGCUAUCUUGCAUGUUCUAUUGUUUGCAGUGGUGCACUUUUCAGUUUACAGGUCAACAUCAGUUUUUUUUACCGUAAAAAAGUUAAAGAAAGGUAGCUCAUGGCUCCGGUCGUGAGUGUUAUAGUCUUUUUCCUAUGCGGUAGGAGAGACUGAGGUCUGCAGUGUAGGCUAUUUGGCUAGAUACUCAGGUGCUAUGUGAUACCAUUUCAUAAACAACUUGUUGAUUAUGUUUUGUCUAUUGCAUACUCGCUUGUACUAUCAUACCUACGCUUAGGAUGUUGAGUCGUAGAGCACGCAG
rnacentral:rRNA from 1 species